AUUGAACGCUGGCGGUAUGCUUUACACAUGCAAGUCGAACGGCAGCAUAGGUGCUUGCACCUGAUGGCGAGUGGCGAACGGGUGAGUAAUGCAUCGGAACGUGCCCAAUCGUGGGGGAUAACGCAGCGAAAGCUGUGCUAAUACCGCAUACGAUCUACGGAUGAAAGCGGGGGACCUUCGGGCCUCGCGCGAAUGGAGCGGCCGAUGUUAGAUUAGGUAGUUGGUGAGGUAAAGGCUCACCAAGCCGACGAUCUAUAGCUGGUCUGAGAGGACGACCAGCCACACUGGAACUGAGACACGGUCCAGACUCCUACGGGAGGCAGCAGUGGGGAAUUUUGGACAAUGGGCAAAAGCCUGAUCCAGCAAUACCGCGUGCAGGAAGAAGGCCUCGGUUGUAACUAGCUUUGUUACGGAACGAAAAGGACGUACUUUCUAAUAAAGUAAGGGACUCAUGACGGUACCGUAA
rnacentral:rRNA from 1 species